CGCACAUCGAAGGGUGGGCGAAGCGGAAGCGGUCCAAGCGCCACCGCUUCUUUGAUCACCCGCCCACGGAAGAGGAAUACUUGGCCCUCUGUCUCGUCAUGCUCGCCCGUGAUGGAUCCGGUCAUCGCCCGCCGUCGUUAACCUCCGACUCGGAGGCGGCGCCGCCGCCGGCGAAGUUCCAGUACAAGUGCUCCGUCUGCGGAAAGGCCUUCGGCUCAUACCAGGCCCUUGGCGGGCACAAGACCAGCCACCGGAAGCCCACCGGUGGCGCCGACGAAGCCUCCGUCGCGUCAACGGCGGCCUCGGCCUCGGGCUCCUCCACCGCCGGCGCCGCAUCUGGCGGUGGCAGGUUGCACCAGUGCUCGGUGUGCCUGAAGACGUUCCCUUCGGGUCAGGCGCUCGGGGGCCACAAGAGGCGCCACUACGAGGGAAGCCUCGGCAGCAGUGCCGCCGCGGUGGCGCCGGCGACGUCGGAGGGCGCGAGCUCGAGCCACCGGGGGUUGGAUCUGACCGUGGCGGCGUUGCCCGAGUUCGAGUUCGACGGCGUCAGGCGCUGUCUGGCGGCAGCGGCCGCGGCGACUGCGGCGGCGGAGGAUGAGGAGGUGCAGAGCCC
rnacentral:lncRNA from 1 species